GGGGCUGUAGCUCAGUUGGGAGAGCGCGUCGUUCGCAAUGACGAGGCCAGGGGUUCGAUUCCCCUCAGCUCCA
rnacentral:tRNA from 1 species